rnacentral:rRNA from 1 species
AGAUUGAACAUAAGAGUUUGAUCCUGGCUCAGAUUGAACGCUGGCGGCAUGCUUUACACAUGCAAGUCGAACGGCAGCGGGGAAGUGCUUGCACUUCUGCCGGCGAGUGGCGAACGGGUGAGUAAUGCAUUGGAACGUACCGGGUAAUGGGGGAUAACUUGCCGAAAGGUAAGCUAAUACCGCAUACGCU